GCGCAGCAGUCGAGAAUUUUUCACAAUGGGGGAAACCCUGAUGGAGCGACGCCGCGUGGAGGAUGAAGGCGUUUUCGUCGUAAACUCCUGUCUAACGGGAACAAGAAAGUGAUAGUACCGUUAGAGGAAGAGGCGGCUAACUCUGUGCCAGCAGCCGCGGUAAUACAGAGGCCUCAAGCGUUGUUCGGAUUCAUUGGGCGUAAAGGGUGCGUAGGUGGCUUGGUAAGUUGAAGGUGAAAUCUCGGGGCUUAACUCCGAAACUGCCUUCAAUACUGCCGAGCUCGAGGAUUGUAGAGGAGAAUGGAAUUCACGGUGUAGCAGUGAAAUGCGUAGAUAUCGUGAGGAAGACCAGUGGCGAAGGCGAUUCUCAGGGCAAUUCCUGACACUGAGGCACGAAGGCUAGGGGAGCAAACGGGAUUAGAUACCCCGGUAGU
rnacentral:rRNA from 1 species